UUAAGUUCAGCGGGUAGUCCUACCUGAUUCGAGGCCAAAUGAGAUGAAAAUUGUCCUUGCGAGGGACGGUUAGAAGCCGUUUGAUCCCCGGUCCAGCGCCUCGCGGCAUCGACGUAGAUGUGAUUAUCACGCCGAAAACUGAAGUCGGGAGAGUCAGCUAAUGCAUUUGAGACGAGCCGAGCGUCAGCCCAGCAACGUCC
rnacentral:misc_RNA from 1 species